rnacentral:rRNA from 1 species
AACGAACGCUGGCGGCGUGCUUAACACAUGCAAGUCGAACGCGAAAGCCCUUCGGGGUUAGUAGAGUGGCGCACGGGUGAGUAAUGGAUAGGAACGUACCUUUUGGUGGGGAAUAACUCCGAGAAAUCGAAGCUAAUACCGCGUAAGGACGCAAGUCGAAAGAGGGCCUCUAUUUAUAAGCUCUUGCCGAAAGAUCGGCCUAUCUUCCAUUAGCUUGUUGGUAGGGUAAUGGCCUACCAAGGCGACGAUGGAUAGCUGGUUUGAGAGGAUGAUCAGCCACACUGGAACUGAGACACGGUCCAG